CGCGUAGGCGGAUAUUACAGUCAGGCGUGAAAUUCCUGGGCUCAACCUGGGGGCUGCGUUUGAUACGUGAUGUCUGGAGUUCGGAAGAGGGUCGUGGAAUUCCCAGUGUAGAGGUGAAAUUCGUAGAUAUUGGGAAGAACACCGGUGGCGAAGGCGGCGACCUGGUCCGAUACUGACGCUGAGGCGCGAAAGCGUGGGGAGCAAACAGGGUUAGAUACCCUGGUAGUCCACGCUGUAAACGAUGUGCGCUGGAUGUUGGGUGACAUAGUCAUUCAGUGUCGUAGCUAACGCGAUAAGCGCACCGCCUGGGGAGUACGGCCGCAAGGUUGAA
rnacentral:rRNA from 1 species